rfam:Myotis lucifugus cont2.7832, whole genome shotgun sequence.
GGUGGUUCUCGGGUGAUGCACCCUGGAAUCAGGCUCCUUCCUCUCUAGUUCCAGGGUGUGUCACCUGAGAACCGCU